rnacentral:rRNA from 1 species
UUAAAUUGAAGAGUUUGAUCAUGGCUCAGAUUGAACGCUGGCGGCAGGCCUAACACAUGCAAGUCGAACGGUAACAGAAAGCAGCUUGCUGCUUUGCUGACGAGUGGCGGACGGGUGAGUAAUGUCUGGGAAACUGCCCGAUGGAGGGGGAUAACUACUGGAAACGGUAGCUAAUACCGCAUAACGUCGCAAGACCAAAGAGGGGGACCUUCGGGCCUCUUGCCAUCGGAUGUGCCNAGAUGGGAUUAGCUAGUAGGUGGGGUAACGGCUCACCUAGGCGACGAUCCCUAGCUGGUCUGAGAGGAUGACCAGCNACACUGGAACUGAGACACGGUCCAGACUCCUACGGGAGGCAGCAGUGGGGAAUAUUGCACAAUGGGCGCAAGCCUGAUGCAGCCAUGCCGCGUGUAUGAAGAAGGCCUUCGGGUUGUAAAGUACUUUCAGCGGGGAGGAAGGGAGUAAAGUUAAUACCUUUGCUCAUUGACGUUACCCGCAGAAGAAGCACCGGCUAACUCCGUGCCAGCAGCCGCGGUAAUACGGAGGGUGCAAGCGUUAAUCGGAAUUACUGGGCGUAAAGCGCACGCAGGCGGUUUGUUAAGUCAGAUGUGAAAUCCCCGGGCUCAACCUGGGAACUGCAUCUGAUACUGGCAAGCUUGAGUCU